UAAAAAUAAAAAUAGUAAUAUUCCUAGAAUAAUAUUCCAGACUUUUGGGUAAAGUUUGGUAAUUAAUGGAGUUGAAUAGAUAGACGAACCAAUACCCGCUUAAAGUCACUUAACCUAUGUUAAGUGACUAAAGAACAAAGAAGAACCCAUUUCCCCCCAUUGCCCGUCGACAGCAAACAGAAAGGAGGAGAAGAGAAGAGAGGGAGAAGAGAGGAAGAAGGAGGGAAAACCUAGUGGGAGCAAAUCCCAACCGUUUUGGGUGAUUCAAAAGCCUAAACUACUCUAAAUCUUCCCCUCUUUCAUAAUCCUAGCUUGGUUUUGAGUGGGAGUCCUUGUGGAGAGAGAUAUUGGUCCCCAAAGAUUCGCCCCUUUUGAGAAGUGUGGGGUUUUGGGAGUUUCUACCUCCAUGGAAGCUUGAGGAACACUCAUUCCUCUAUUGUGUGAUCAUUGGUGGAUUGAGGCAAGAGGACCAAGUGGAGUGACCAACCCUUGGGGUUGUGUGCAAUUGAGGAAAGCUCAAAGAGCAAGGUACUGAUAGAGGUGAGGUUGAUCGAGGCAAGAAGCAUGAGUAGACUGUACCUGAUAGCUGGACAUGUUGAGUUGCAUGCCAUUUAGCAUUGCUAUAUGUAUAUUUUGAUGUCAUAUGAUGUAUUUUGGAGGACUUAGUGCAUGAUCAUUGUAGUAGUA